rnacentral:piRNA from 2 species
UGGAAGGCAAGUUCAAUGGCAUUUCUC